AGAGUAAAUCGGUUUGUCGCCACUUGUGGAGGAAAGUCCGGACACCAAAGGGAAGCAUAGCGGGUAAUGCCCGUCCGUUGUAAAACGAGGACAAGUGCAACAGAAAGCAAGUACAGUUCGGCUGUAGUGAAAUCAGGUAAACUCUAUGCGGUGCAACGCCAUGUAAACCAGCGUUUGAGGGUGCCCGCCCGAUGUUGGAGGGUAGGCGGUUUGAACUUAUAGGUAACUAUAAAUCAAGAUAAAUGACAAACACUUUUCAGUUGAAAAGAACAGAAUCCGGCUUAUGAUUUACUCUUUUU
rfam:Capnocytophaga canimorsus Cc5, complete genome.